GUUUUUCGCUCUAAGAUGAGCUCGCGUGAGAUUAGCUAGUUGGUGAGGUAAUGGCUCACCAAGGCGACGAUCUCUAACAGGUCUGAGAGGAUGAUCUGUCACACUGGAACUGAGACACGGUCCAGACUCCUACGGGAGGCAGCAGUAGGGAAUAUUGCACAAUGGAGGAAACUCUGAUGCAGCGACGCCGCGUGAGCGAUGAAGGACUUCGGUUCGUAAAGCUCUGUCGUACGAGAAUAAGAAAGUG
rnacentral:rRNA from 1 species